AUUGAACGCUGGCGGCAGGCCUAACACAUGCAAGUCGAACGAGUGGCGGACGGGUGAGUAAUGUCUGGGAAUCUGCCUGAUGGAGGGGGAUCACUACUGGAAACGGUAGCUAAUACCGCAUACCAUCGUAUGAUCCCAGGUGGGAUUGUCUAGUAGGUGUGGUAAAGGCUAACCAAGGCGACGAUCCCUAGCUUGUCUGACAGGAUGACAAGCCACAUUGUAACUGAGACACGGACCAGACUCCUACGGAAGGCAGCAGUGGGGAAUAUUGCGAAAUGGGGGAAAUCCUGAUGCAGCAAUGCCGCGUGUAUGAAGAAGGCCUUCGGGUUGUAAAGUACUUUCAGCGGGGAGGCGUUACCCGAAGAGAAAGCAACGGCUAACUCCGUGCCAGCAGCCGCGGUAAGUC
rnacentral:rRNA from 1 species